GGGUCAGUAGGUUGGUCGUGCCACCGGUACGUUCUGGUCUCACUGAUUCCUCCUUCCUGAAGAACCGUAAUGCCAUUAAUUUGGUGUUGCGGGGAAACAGGACUGUUACUUUGAAAAAAUUAGAGUGUUUAAAGCAAGCUAACGCUUGAAUACAUUAGCAUGGAAUAAUGAAAUAGGACGAUCGAUCCUAUUUUGUUGGUUUCUAGGAUUGACGUA
rnacentral:rRNA from 1 species